AAUUAACACAUGUCAAGUAUUGCUCACAAUUAUGUGUAUUUAUGAUGAGGAGCAAGUCGAAUGUCAAGAAGGUUGCAUCGUUUUCUUUUCAUUUUUUCAAUUAAUAUCUCAAAUAGAUUUGAUAGAUUUAUGUAUUUUUAUUUUAAAUGCCUUUUAUUUGCCUUUUAUAUCAACCAAACAAUCUAUCAAUGAUUUGUUUGUGUGUUUCUGCAGUUGCUUGUAGGAUUCUCAGAAGUCUGAUUGACCCAGAAAGGCUUUAGAUUUAGGUUUUAGUUGCAUCCCCUUGAAAUUUCAGUAACAUUUAUGAGGAUAAUUCUUAAUUCUUUGAUUUCUGCAGAUAACUUCAUAAGAGAGUUAAAUCAGAGCGUUCGACAACGCAAUUUGGAGAAACAACAGCAGGAGAUUCCUUCAACUCCUUCACAACCACCUUUGAAGCCCAGUCGCUCUAUGGUUCAAACUCCGAAAAACCAAACACACUCAGAGGAAGAGGAAGUCAAUGGAGAUGCAGAGG